rnacentral:rRNA from 1 species
UCAUUGAUGGAAUAAACGCCCUCACAGGCGCUACCCAUAAACCCUUUGUGAAUACUACCUAACAUGUUGCCUCGGCAUUGGUUGGCCUCUUGUGAGGUCCCUUCUUUCGGGAAGGAGCAGACCGGCCGGUGGCCCUAUAAACUCUUGUUUUUGUAAUAUCAUCUGAGUAAAACAACUAAAUGAAUCAAAACUUUCAACAACGGAUCUCUUGGUUCUGGCAUCGAUGAAGAACGCAGCGAAAUGCGAUAAGUAAUGUGAAUUGCAGAAUUCAGUGAAUCAUCGAAUCUUUGAACGCACAUUGCGCCCGGUGGUAUUCCACCGGGCAUGCCUGUUCGAGCGUCAUUUCAACCCUCAAAGCCUUGGCUUUGGUGUUGGAGGAAUACCCUGUAAAAAGGGUACCCUCUGAAAUUUAGUGGCGGGCUCGCUAGAAUUUUGAGCGUAGUAAUUUUACCUCGUUUUUAAAGACUAGUGGGACUUCUUGCCGUAAAACCCCCCAACUUUCUGA